GAUGAACGCUGGCGGCGUGCCUAAUACAUGCAAGUCGAGCGAACAGACGAGGAGCUUGCUCCUCUGACGUUAGCGGCGGACGGGUGAGUAACACGUAGAUAACCUACCUAUAAGACUGGGAUAACUUCGGGAAACCGGAGCUAAUACCGGAUAAAAUGUGCAACCGCAUGGUUCAAAAGUGAAAGACGCUCUUGCUGUCACUUAUAGAUGGAUCCGCGCCGCAUUAGCUAGUUGGUAAGGUAACGGCUUACCAAGGCAACGAUGCGUAGCCGACCUGAGAGGGUGAUCGGCCACACUGGAACUGAGACACGGUCCAGACUCCUACGGGAGGCAGCAGUAGGGAAUCUUCCGCAAUGGGCGAAAGCCUGACGGAGCAACGCCGCGUGAGUGAAGAAGGUCUUCGGAUCGUAAAACUCUGUUAUUAGGGAAGAACAAAUGUGUAAGUAACUGUGCACGUCUUGACGGUACCUAAUCAGAAAGCCACGGCUAACUACGUG
rnacentral:rRNA from 1 species